AUGUGGGUCAGUUCAUCUUGUCCGGUUUGUCAGUUCUGUCAGAAGCUGUCUGAAGCUCCUACAAAUCCUACAUGUUCUGUUUGCCAGACCUCUGAAAACCUCUGGAUCUGUGUGAUAUGUGGUUUUGUUGGAUGCGGAAGGUAUAAAAAAGGGCAUUCAAUCAGGCACUGGAAAGGCACUCAACACUGCUAUUCUCUCGAUUUGGAAACUCAGCAUGUUUGGGAUUAUGUUGGUGACAGUUUUGUCCAUCGGCUCAAUCACUCAAAAAGCGAUGUAAAGCAUGCUAAGUUCAGUUCGAAGUGUGAAUAUCCUGGGGACAACUGUGUAAACUGCAUGCACGAUGACUCAGAUAUGGGUGGAGUUAUGUUUAGCAGCAAAGCGGACACAAUUGUGGAUGAAUACGAUCGUCUUUUAGCAAGCCAACUUGAAACUCAGCGAGAGUAUUACGAAGCUCUUUUGUCAGACGCCAAGAAGGAAAGGGAACACCAUAUUUCUGUUGCUGUGGAUAAAACUAUAAAUGAUAAGCGUCAAGAGCUGCAACUUGAGCUUGAAAAUACAAUGUUGGAGAAAAAGAAAGUUGCUGAAAUGAAUGAAAAACUCACGAAGAGCCAGGAUAUAUGGCACCAGACAGUAAAAGGAAUAGAGGAAAGGGAGAGAGCACAGUUGAAGCUGAAAGAUGAUACGAUUCUUGACCUCGAAGAACAGCUAAAAGACUUCAGAUAUUCCAUCAAGUUACAAAAGUCUAUGGCGAAGAGUUCACAUGCUGAUGAUCUCAAAGGAGGUAUGCUGGUGCCACUGGCCAUGGAGUCAGAUUCCGGAAAGGGUAAAAGGUCGUCAAGAACAAGCAAGAGAAGGAAUUAG
rnacentral:rRNA from 1 species